CUACGGGUGGCAGCAGUAGGGAAUUUUCCACAAUGGGGGCAACCCUGAUGGAGCAACGCCGCGUGCAGGAUGAAUGCCUUCGGGUUGUAAACUGCUUUUAUAUGUGACGAAUAUGACGGUAGCAUAUGAAUAAGGAUCGGCUAACUCCGUGCCAGCAGCCGCGGUCAUACGGAGGAUCCAAGCGUUAUCCGGAAUUACUGGGCGUAAAGAGUUGCGUAGGUGGCAGAGUAUGUCUGUAGUGAAAGCGUGUGGCUCAACCAUAUACACAUUACAGAAACUGCUCAGCUAGAGGACGAGAGAGGUUAUUGGAAUUCCUAGUGUAGGAGUGAAAUCCGUAGAUAUUAGGAGGAACACCGAUGGCGUAGGCAGAUAACUGGCUCGUUCCUGACACUAAGGCACGAAAGCGUGGGGAGCAAACGGGAUUAGAUACCCUGGUAGUC
rnacentral:rRNA from 1 species